GAGUGAUGAUGAAACGCUCCUGUGACAACUUGGGUCGUCACAGUGGUCAUCUCUUAGAUGAUGAGAGCAAUACUGAGCUU
rnacentral:sRNA from 1 species